rnacentral:rRNA from 1 species
UACGUAGGGGGCAAGCGUUGCCCGGAUUUAUUGGGCGUAAAGGGCGCGUAGGCGGCUCUGCACGUUCGUUGUGAAAUCGCCCGGCUCAACUGGGCGGGGUCAGCGGAUACGGCAGAGCUUGAGCAAGCUAGGGGGCAAUGGAAUUCCCGGUGUAGUGGUGGAAUGCGUAGAUAUCGGGAGGAACACCGGUGGCGAAGGCGGUUCUCUGGGCCUGUACUGACGCUGAGGAGCGAAAGCCAGGGGAGCGAACGGG